UGUGUUUGGCACGAUAACAGUGCCCGCGGACGGCUCAUUAAAACAGAGAUAACCUAACCUCCAUUAUAUUCGGAUAACUUUGCUAAUUGUGAGGAUAAUACGUGACGUUAAGCGCUCUGCGCAAAACCUCUCAUAUAGUUGCAGCAAAAGGAAAUUGAGUGGUCGUAUAGAUAAUAUCAGCGGUGGAAGGGUCUCUGCUCUAUCAGCUACUGACGGUUGUGUAUUGGACAACCGUGGCUUUUACAGAUAACGAGGAAUUCGGGUUUGAUUUCGGAGAGAACGCCUGAGAAACAGCGUUUACAGCUAAGGUUGGCAGCAGGAGCGAAAACUUUUCUUAUGAGCGAGUGCUUGAAAAGGUGACGAACUGUAUCAACAUCAGCUUAUUGUUGAUGAUUAAAAUGGGAAGUACGUAAAUGAUACUUCGAGUAGCUAGUUCAGGGCAAGUCUGGUGCCAGCAGCCGCGGUAAUACCAGCUGAGCUAGGGAUGGAUAAUAUUGUUGCAGUAAAAACACCCGUAGUCACUAUUGGACCUUGGGCUGACAUCUUAGUCGGUACAAAGUUUACUAAAACAACUCCACGAUUAAAUUAGAAUGAUAAAUUUUUAUGGUGAAUAGGAAAGCGUGGGAAAUCUGAUGAAACCUUUGCUGAGAGUGUAACAAUUGGUAGAGGAAUAAACAGUAAGAAUAAGUGAGGGCAGUGAUACUUACCAGCUAGAGGUGAAAUUCAAAGAUUUGGUAAUGAUCAACGACUGCAAAGGCAUCUGUCCAACUUAUUUUUGGUGAUCAAGGGUUAAAGUCCGGGGAUCGAAGAGGAUUAGAUACCCUCGUAGUCCGGACCCUAAACUAUGUCAACUAGUGAUUGGUAGGAAAAAUACUCUAUCGGAACCUUAGCAGAUAUGAAAGUCUUUGGACUCUGGGGGGAGUAUGGUCGCAAGGGCGAAACUUAAAGGAAUUGACGGAACGGCACCACCAGGGGUGGAGCGUGCGGCUUAAUUUGACUCAACGCGGGAAACCUUACUAGGGUAGGACAAUAGAAUGAUUGACACGAUGCACGUCGUUUCUUAAUUGGUUGGGUGGUGGUGCAUGGCCGAUCUUAGUUGGUGGGGUGACUUGUCUGGUUAAUUUCGAUAACGAACGAGAUCCGAGCCGUUUCGUUGUAUAUCAUAAGAAUUCUUGCGAUGUAUAUCAAAAUGGACCAUCUGCUUAAGCAGAAGGAAGUGACGGGCUAAAUCAGGUCUGUGAUGCCCUUCGAUACUCUGGGCGGCACGCGCGCUACAAUGGACAGCUUAAAGUGUCACUCUAUUGAAAAAUAGGGUGGAUCACUGAAACUGAGUCUUGAUUGGGAUAGUCUUUUGCAAUUUUCAGACUUGAACUAGGAAUCCCUUGUAGGUGCAGUAAAGAAUACUGCUCCGAAUACGUCCCUGCCGUUUGUACACACCGCCCGUCGUUUCUUCCGACUGGUUCUCAUUGUGAAUGACGAGGACAGUUUCGACUGAAUUCGUUGUGAAUGCUGGGUAUUGGAGGAAGAAAAAGUCGUAACAAGGUUAUC
rnacentral:rRNA from 1 species